UAAAGAAACGGACACACUCCUGUGGGUUUUAGGGAACUUAAGACACGUGGAGGAGAAGUGCCUGGAAGGCUACUGAAAUAUUUACAAAACAAAUCAUUUACAUUCAACUUUUGUGUUUGUAAAAACCUGAAGUGCCUACAAAAAAGACUGAGCCAACUUUGGCUAUAAGGAAUAUUUCGGCAUCAAAAUGGUUAAUAGUAUUAUAGCUUCAAAAGAGCCUAUUGGCUCACCCUCAAGGAUGCCCUGCAGUUGUUGUUAAAGUCAUCAGAUGAAGCUAGCCUUCUCAGCUAGCCUUUAGAUUUGUCUGCUAACAGUAAAAAUACUAUAAUAAAUCGGUAACAUAUGUUGCCAGGCACGGAAAAGUGAUAUAAAUAGACUAGGAGACCCAAACCAAGCACAAUGUGAAAAGAAUUUAACUUUCAAUCUAUUGGCUGCCUAAUUACCAUUUGAAAAGUUAUUUGAAAGUGUUACUGUUAUUUGCUUUUAUUCUUCCUCAUUUUUCUUUUUUUCUCUUCAGAUUGCAUUAUUACCCAAAUACUCUUCGUGAUUGCCUGCUUUGCGGCUUUGGGGUAAGUCCCAGUUUUCCACAACCUUAAGAAAAAAAAAUGCAUAACAUAAAAGACGUCAAAAAGACUUAUGUGUCCUGAUGUGCGGGUUUUGUGAAAUAUACAUGGGCUUGUGGGGGGGGGUAGGGUAAUGAAAUAAAGAGAAGGAGCUUGUUUCUUCAAGGAUCCAAAGUGUGCGAAAGUGUGCAUAUGCAAGUGAGGCUGCCUUCAGGAGAGCCACCUCUGGAAUGGAAGUGACAAAGCUUAGAACACACACAAUCAAUUAUUUUCACUAGCAUUUAAAAUACAGAAAACAAAAUCUGCUUUGGGAAUUGACUGAAUAUUUUAUUUAGCUUUUUUAUUGAGACAUCCUUUGAAAAAUGGCGUAAUAUAAAUAGUUUCACAAAGCAACAAUAUAAUCAAUCUCUAAACUAGAAUAUAAAUCAAGGAUUUCAUUAACUGCUGGUAGCCAGUUUAAAUUGUAGUCUUGUCCAUAAUGUCUAUCUAUCUAUGUAUGUCCAAGUUAUAUUAAAAACCUUUAAAUGGCUUUGUAAUAUCAGCUACAUCUAGCUAUUAUAAUAAUUAAUGGUACUGUUUUAUAAAUCAAUACAUGUAUUCUUGAUAAAUUCAUAUCCAGUUAAUGGUGUAAUUUAAAUAAAAAAUUAAUGUAAUAAAGGACAUACAGAAACGGGCAGGAAAUCUUUAAAGGUUAAGAGCCAAAUUUGUUUAAAUUCAUUUUUAACCUGUUUUGGAAAAGUUUGUAUUUGAAAUCAGCUGAGAUUUACCUUGUUUCUGUAAAACUAACCUUGCCAUUUCCAGGGGCAUCUAGUGUUGAAUCUGUAAAAUAGUUUUUUUUUAAACAGUAAAUUUUUAAUUACAUGUUUAAAAUACUAUGGAAUAUUUUACUAUCAUUAUACUAUUUUGUAAUUAGUGACUAUUCUUUGAAAAGAUAGAACAAAAACAAACUGAAAACCUCACACUCGUUAUUUAUUUUUAACACAUAACUGAAAUGUAAAUGCCAUAUAUAUAUUUUAAUAUAAAUGAAGCUUCUGAAAAGCUCCAAAGCUAUAUAAAAUUUUACUUACGGAAAGAAGGGACUGAUUAGCCCAGUGAAUUUGCAUGUGUAAGAGCCCCGUGUUUUCAUUGCUUUUGCUGAGUGAGCAUCCCAGAAAUUUUAGAUAGAAAAGAAAAAAAAAUGCACGAAAGGGUCCGAAUUGUAUUUUAACGCUGUAAACGGGCAGAGAAACAUUCUACAAAAAGAACAGUGUGUUAUUGUUCUGAUUUUAAAGCCACAUACUAAAGGCAUAUUAAAGAAUAACACGGUUUAGAAAAACAACUGAAGGGUGUACAUUAUCAAACACAGCAUCAAAUCUUUCCAAAUAAGAUCUCAUUUGGUUUAUAGAGUAAGCAUCUUAGAAAACAGUAUCUUUCCGAAUCCUGCAGACCAGGCUGCCCUGCCAUCUCCCCUGACACGGUGCAGAAACACUCCUUUAAUCCACUGAGCUUUUUCUGACAUUUUUCUUAACAUUGCUGAGCCUUAUUUAGAGCGGCGGAGGAGACGUGUGCACUUUCCUUUGACACUGAUGGGUGUUUCCAAAUGUUGAGAGAGAGAGAGAGGGAGAUUGAGAGAGAUUUGCUGCCAGUCACUUCAUCAAUAGAGCUAUAGCAGCAAUUACUGUUUGUUAGGAGUUUACAUUUCAAAUGAAGCUACAUUUAAAGAAGUCUCAUCAUUUUACAAAGGCUGGUGCUUGCAAGAGAGAAGAGAAUCCACAUUAGUGAUUACAUAUUAAAGUGCACUCGAGUACUGGAACCAUUUAAAAUGUGUGGUGUUUUUAGACGAAAUCUGCAGCAAAACCACUCCUAAGAGGCUUAAUUUAGGUUUUAUAGGAGGAACAUAAAAAAGACCAGGUUACAGCAACAUGCUGAAAUAUGGGGUACAUUUUAAAUAUCUUCAUUUAAAAACGUAUGUUUAUUUUCUCUCCUGGGAUCACUAACGUGUGUCUCGACAGAGGAAGCAAGGACAUGCUACAUUCUUAAAAAUUAUCUGUUAAAGGGAUCACAUUCCAAGACAGGUUUGAGCAUUUUUAUUACUACAGAUAACCUCUUAAUUAUGUCACUGCCUUCCACUUGUUAAUCAGGGACAUUCAACACAGUUAACCAUGGAGCGGCUGCCUUUAGAAGAAUACAUGGUUAUUAAGGAUUAGAAACACAUUUUAUCCCUUUCGUCGUAUGUCUGAUUUUAGCACUGCUACAGACCUAUCUACUCGCUUUAAAUACACAACACCUAGGAAGGGGCUAGUAAUAGUGUUACUCAUUACUUCAAACUGCGCAGCCCGUGAAGAGCUGCAAGGAAUGGAUCAUGUCGUCUCUCCUGUCUCCCCCCCCACGACCCUCACGGUUCCUAUCUGAACCAAUUUUAGGUCUCUUCUGCAGCCACCAGCGUCUGAGACACUCAGAGCCUCUUUCAGAGUGCAAGGUGUAAGUGGAGUAAAUAAAAUCAUGUUUCACUGUUGCUUUAUCAACCCUUGUAGGUAGUUUUUCUGCCAGCCAACCUGCGCUGCUCAGACCCAUAAAAUUAUGCAAUAGUGACUUCUUUGGAGGUUCUUUAAUCAGAUAAUGGCUGGUGCUAGGAGAGAAAGGCCCAAGGCAGUGUUGCUGGCACUUAACACUGUGGUUGGUCAUUACUCGUCUGGUAGAGACCAAUAAACAGCUGAUGACUAUCCUAUAAGGAGCCAAUAUUUUACAUUUAUCCUUGUUAUUUUUCCCUUUUCUUUUUGACUUCUUGUAACAGCAAGUAUUUGUCAAGAAGAUCUAUGAGAAGGAGCCUCACAGGCACCUUAAAAAUAAGAAUUUUCCUGCUAUGAAAUGAUGCCUUUUGUGGCGAGGUGAGACUGGUUCUGGUUUUUACAGAGCAAAGGUUUGAUUAGCUUAACGUCCAUUUCUCUCCGGCAUGGACACUCCCAGACACCAUCCCCCACUGCUGCUCCCCUCCAAUUCCGUCCCCUCCCCCCCCCCCCCCCCCCAUGACAGGUUCACAAGCUGCAACCAAAGGGUUUUAAAAUGCAAAUAUUUAUAUUUGAGCUCUGGCAAUAACAGGGCCAUUUUCCUUCCCCUGUACGCCUGUGAUAAUUGAUGCUUCAUACCUGGAAGUACGUUUCAUUUAUCUCUUUACACAUGGAGAUAGUAUAUAAAUAAAAGGAAAUUUAUGGGAAGGAACUGGCCAUUUGAAAUAAUAAUCCUAAAUUUGACUGUAUAAUCUUUUAAAGCUGUAAGAGUCAGAAAUGCAGAUUUCUAAACUUUUAAUGCAAACUCGAUUGCAAACGGGAAAUCAGUACACUUUUAAAUGUGUAUUGAAUUUGAAUGCCUGCCUGGGUCAAAAAAAAAAAUACAAUAAGGGUAAAAGGAAAGCAGGGGAGAAAAGGUGUGAAUUUUAUAUGUACUAUAAGCUAAUGCACUCAGCCACAUGUUUAGACUUCUUGUUACAAUUCUAUUGACUUUCUCUCUCAAUAUAAUGUUUUCCUAACCAAUGUGAACAGCACAAUAGCAAGUGUUUGAGCGUGGCUGUCCUUCCCUGGGCUCCUCAUCCCAGCCUGCACAGAGGUGUGCCCUCAGAACUGGACCUUGACUCCACAACCUCAUACAAAGCCAGGCAAUCCUUGAGCCAAACAAACAAAGGGGGUGUAAGUGAUUUCAUUUAUUUUGAUAAUCCUCCUCCUGCACGGGGAGCAUUUUGCUGUCUUUGUCAAAGUGAAUGACAACAAUUUGGCCAACUCUCUCUGAGCUGCACUCAACAGUGACAGGCAAAUUAUCAGAGGCCCUGCACUUCUUAUUAUCAGAGGAGAAGCCAUCAGGGGGACGCAUGGAGGAUACCUCUCCCUUGUCACUAUUUGUCAGUGGGACAAGGGCCACUGCUAUGGGUAGCUGACAGGUAAUUUCAACAAUAACAAUUACUCCUAUUACUGGUGUCAUAAACAAUUCGCCCAAGGCAUGACAAUAGCAAAGCUUUAUAAUUCAAUGCCAUAUAAAUAAAUGCCAGCAGGUAACAAGUAAUUUAGCUCCAAUCAAGCUUUCACCCCGGCAUUAAUAUUGUUAUUGCAAGAAAAUGGAAAAUUGAAAAAAUUCAGUAUGUUAAUGAAUUAAGAAAGGUUCAGGGGCUACACAACAGGAGUUGAAAAAGGGAAACUAAGAUUACUAAGGUAUCAUACUUGAUGCCAUCCUAAGGGCCAACAGUCAUAUAAUCAAUUGAAACAAAAAGAGGAACCUGGAGCAGUGUUGCCUUAGACUCCGGACCUGGGAAAAAUGGAACAUGGCCUUUGAAAAAAAAAUCCACCUCUCUCCAAUUUCUGAGGACUCUCAGUAGAAAUGUAAGAAUGUAUAUAUCAUGGAGCAUUUCACUGGCUUUCUUUUUCCACCUGAAAUAUUUCCUAUGAAGCAGGGAGAGGCGUAAGUGAGUAUCCAAGGAAUAUUUCCAUCUGUUGAAGAAAGUCGCGUGAGCACCUGCUUCCUGUACAAUUCUUCAGGGAGCAGAGAGCAUUCGCAUGGAUGGGCAUCUCAGUUUUCCCAGCAUAUGCUGUUUGCCCUUUCCCAACAACCACGCUUGAACAUAAUUAUGCUGCCUCAAACCCGGGCUGCAGAGAGCAUCCCUGACAGCUCCAAGUUCCUGUUAACUCCUGAAAUUCUGAAUUCCACGGUGCCCAGAUCCCGACGUCGAGAUCACAGACCACGUGUCGUCUUCAGCCCCAAGAAGCCCCUUCGCCUCCUCCCCGGGCCGACCUCGCCAGGCUGUUAACUCCCUCCCGCCCCUGCCUUCCUCUGCCCCCGCCUCCACCCGGUGCAACAGGAGUGGCACGAUUAAAAAUGAGGAGAUUCUCUUGUUAUUAACAAAUUUGACAUUUGCCUGAUGAAAUGCGCAUACAAUGUGAAAGCUACGCAGUCCUGGGAAGGAAUGUCUCCCCUCCCACGCCGGCUACAGGAUGAGACCAUUUAGGUGAAGGAAGUGUAACGAUCCUCGUCUGUCUCUGCUGUGCAGUGCUGGGCUUGUGUUAUAAAUGAAGGCGCCAAACAGUGUGGCGCUUUCAGACUGAUAGCAUGUUGACACAUGUGACGUGCGCAGUGUUUCAUCUCUCACCUUAGCUGCAUAAACAGAGCACAUAUGCUCCAAUGCGGUCAUUUGCCUCGGAGUCCAGCCUCUCCCUGGUGACACCUUGGGGCUGGGGUUUUGUUCAUUUCUAGAGAAAAAUGUGGUCCACCCUCCACCCCCCAAAAACAGGUUGAUGAUUUCAGCUUUUCUACUUCUAAAGCUCAUCAAAUCAAUAUUUUACCAACACGAUGCUAAUUUAAAACACCAUCAAAUAACACUGCGGAUACAUAUUGAAAACAUAUUUUAAUGGCUUUGUUUGUUUUGGCAUCAUAUGAACCAAGGACGAUUAAAUUAAAAAGAGACUUUUAAAAGUUAGAGAUUGCCUUUUUAAAGCUUAUUAAAAUCAGCAUGUUACAUGCCUGUCUGUGAAUUAGCUCUACACACUUGAUUGCCAUCAUUAAAACUAGUUGUUUGGGUGCUGCUCAAAGCCGAUUCUGACUAGUUAUUACUUGAAAUCUCUUUCCACGGAAAUGAAAAAAAAAAAAAAAAAACGCAAAAAAUCUUUCUAAGUGGAAGGAGAAAACAGUCACCAAAAUGUGAGCUGGCACAGCGACACAGCGGCAGCAAACCCCAGGCAGACCAACAGGUAAACUCACGACAGGAACAUCGGACACAGGGAAAAACAAAACCAAACCCAACCCACGCAACAGCAACAAAGACGCAGUCCAUUGAUUGUAUUUCCUGAAUGUCUUAAAACAAAUGUUUGAACAGUUUCCUGAGACAGCGCAGAGAACCUCUGCCUGCUCGCUGGCUGCAGGGACAAUGGUCUGUUGCAAUGGAAACCACGCGGGAGGAGAAAAAGGUGCUUUUUGUUACCAUUUUAUCAAAGCUGUUCAUCCUCGAGCUGCAGGCCGCAUUUUGCUGGAAUUGCAGAUAUUUCUCUGUCCAGGCUCCUUUGUUUGUGCAUCUCAUUUGCAUAUAUUUAUCUCCAGCUGAGGGUGCUUUCUGCUCAUUAAGGCCUCCCUUCAGAUUAUUUCAUAAGCCAGCUGCUAAGAGGGAUUUCACCUGUGGUGACUGAGAAAAGAGGGGCGAAAAACUAAAUUCUUCAUAAAAAGGGAAUCUUCGGAGUCUCUUCCCCUAUAAAUGGGCACCAUUUGUGUUAAACAGCCUCUUGUCAUGAUAGAUGCCUCCAGAGGUCAGGGGUUAAAGUUGAUUUGAAGGUCAGCAGUAAAACAACAGACAAACCAGACGCCAAACUGGUUCCUUAGCUGUCGGUGGGAGCUGUGGUACAACCAGGUCUUGAACCUUUUUCAACCUCUAAUAAAACAGGGGAUGAAUCUGAAGUGGAUCAACCAGGCCCCUGAGGAAGCAGCACAGCAAAACAGAAAUAAUAUCAAUAUCAGGCAGCCACAGGAAACAAUGGGGCAUUUCUCCGUGCUGCAUGCAUGCUGCUAUUGUUUCCCGAGCCGGGGAAUUAAUUCCACUUAUUUAUUUAAGGCGUGUCAACUCACUGCCUAAACCUGUUUCAGUGUCAAGAUGAAUAAAACUUUUAUGGCUCAUAAAAUAGAGCCAUUCAUCUCAAUGUUCUUUGUGGUGCGUUUUUUUUUUUUUUUUCCUGGCAUACUGAGCUAGGCCUCUGCUCCGAAAUGGUUACAUCUGAACCCACUGUUGCUAUGAUCCACAUCAUAUUAGAGAAAAAAAUUAUUUCACUGGCAAAUGGAUCUCAACAGAAAAGACCCAGGGAAGCGUUUUAGCUGCGAUGUAGUAGUCCCCAAAAUCCUUCUAAAUAUGCCUCAUGCCGUGGCAUCUGUUUGGGGCAUAUAUUAUUUACAAAGCAGAAGUUUCACUAGUUUAGAGAAAAGUUCAAAAAUGAUAGCAAUCCAACAAUUAGUUUCCUAGACUAUUAUGUAUUUCCUUUUACUUUAGAAAUGCAGCCCUGUUAGCAUAGCUUUUCCCCAUCAUCAUUUUUUUGCCCAAGUUGUCACCGUUAUGCAGUCAGCUUGCA